UCUUAACUGAUUGUACAAAUGGGAGAGUUAGGCUACAUCAGUAUGGCAAAACAAUGAAAAUAAGUUCAAAUAUCUUUUUGUCCAAUUGCAAUUGGGAUUUAAAAGAAAUGUUGUUCAAGUGUUAAUAAACAGCCAAAAAAAACAUAUAUAUUCAACUUGAAAUUUUAAUGCUUCAAUGACCAACUUUUUUGUAAUCUGCCACAAACCAGGCCAGUGACAAACCUUUUUUAUUUUCUUUUUUCUUGAUACAACGACUGAUACUAUUGUCUUUCUAUUCCUUUGAUUUGUUAUGUACUGUAGUAAAGUGUGUUUAACAUACUUCGGCAUGAAACAAUGUAUUGUCCAAAUUUGGAGGGUAAUGGGGUUUUGAUUGAAUAUAUUGAGAUCCAAGGGAUUAUGUAACAUUGGAUAAAGGCAAGAGUACAAAUGAAGAGGCCAAUUGCAAUACAACAUUUAGAAUUGUAUAUAUAAUUGAAGAAUAUAAUUUUUGAUCAAACACACAACAACGAAAAAAAAAAAAAAAAAAAAAAAAAAAAACACUCCAAGCUAAAAUGUGUGUUGUAUAUUAUCUAAUACUUACAGAAAUUGAACAGAAAUAGGAGUAAAAUGUAUGUAUAUAUAUAUAUAUAUAUAUAGAUGUGUGUGUGUGUAUGUAUGCAUUUUUCUUCAAAAAUUUCAUGAAUAUUGUGAUACUUACUUAUUAAUUUAAUUCUUAUGUUUUUUGUGUCUUAAAACUUAUGUAUUUUAUUAUAUGACAUAUUAGAAUGGGAUGCAGAUUAAAAGCAAUUUAUUCCAAAAACAUGAACAUGAAAACAUUAAUUAAGAUAAUGUAAGUGGUUCAUGAAGACUUGUAUCACUGUAUGUGUUGCAUAUGUAUGUUUACAAACAUGUAUACAUAACUUGUAUGGAAAUUUACUUUAUUAUUAUUUAUUAUUUAUUUUCAUUUAUUACAAAACUUAGCAAUUUUUACAUAUUACCAACGUUACACAUGUCAUGUUAGUCCAAAAUUAAAUACAUAGUUAUGUGUUUCAUCUAAUAAAUCGUGUUGAUUAAGUCAAUCAACAUUUUUUGUGGGUUGUUUAAGGCUAUUUACAAGAUAGAACCAUGUCAAAAACAUGGUCUUGUUGCAUUUACUUACAACUGUUUUAACCUUACCAUUUCUUAUUUGUGAUAGAAUAACAAUUGACAAUUGUACAUUCUUAUACUGUAUUCCUGAAUUUGAUUUUUGUUUAAGGUAUUAAGAAGGAGAAAGGAUUAAAAUAGAACGGAAUAACAGGCAAAACUUGAUGUUCCAUUUUGUUGUUUUUACUAUGAGCUUGAAGAUUUUUGAUACUUUCAAUUAAUACAAGUAUAGGUAAUUUCACAUUUUAUCUCAUUUUUUAUUUGCUUUGUGGCUAUAAAAUGUAAGUUUAUGACCUCCACAUACCAACUUACCGAAAUUUUAAAUGUCUUCGAUUACUAAUCAACGAUUUUUCUCUUCUACCUCCUCUAGUUUUUCAAAUGAAAUUUUCAUACUAAUAAUUAAUCCACCUAUAACUUAAAUUUCAUGUUUUUCAAGUUUUACAGCGUAUUUUUGUGCAUUAUAUAUAUAUAUAUAUAUAUAUAUAUAUAUAAACCUUUUACAGAAAUAUCUUAAAAUUUUAAAAAAUUAUCCACAUAUUUAACUUUCGUGUAUGCUUAUAUUCAUGAUUUUUAUGUUGAAAAAAUUGUUUUCUUGUUGGUUUGAAUCUUGUUAACUUUCAGUAAUACAUUAUAUUUUGUUGACAUGUCUAUAUUAUUACUGAAAUUAUAUCAUAUUAAGUGACUUUUCUACCUGAAUUAUUCCACAAUAAACACAUUUAUGAAUCGAAUACAAACACUUACAAUUGACUUUUUUUUAUUGAUUGUAUCUUUUGUAUGCUUCUAAAGAAGGUAGUUUUAAAGUUUAUACUAAUGUAUUAGUUGAGCAACUUGAAUUGUGUUCCAGAAGAUAAUAGUCUUUGCAAUAAUUUCUUUGAUGUGAAGGUCAAUUUCUCUCUAAAAUAUUAUCAAAGAAAAUAAUGUGAUAUCAAAAAUAUAAUAGAGAAUUACUAGUAUUACUUUUACAAACAGUAUUAAUUUUAUAAGUAAGACUUUAGUUUUUUUAGAGAAUAUACGUAUAUUUUUAUGUUUAUUAUUAUUUUGGUAUAAAUAUAUUUUUAAAAAAAUAAAAAAUAUUUAUUGGUAUUUUUUUGUAAAAUUUACCUCUAUUUGUAAUUGUUUAAAACUUUAUCUUAAAUUUGAUGCGUGAAGAAACUUAUUUUAGUUGCUUUAAUCUAUUAUGGAUACCAAUGGUAUAAAGGAUAAUAUAUGAAUGUGUAUAAAUAUAUACAUACAUAUAUGCAAACUUCAGUUUUGUAUAAUUUUCUUCUGAAGUUUGAUGUAAUAGAAUGUUGCUUAUACAGAUCAUUAGAAUUUAAUUUAGGACUAUGUCCCAUUAUCUAUUAGACUGUUGUUCAAGGUUAUGUAUUUUGGUUUUAAAAAUUAAUUAUCAUUUUACUUAAAAUAUUUGUAUUAUUUUUUCACUCGUUUAGCAAAUCAUGAGUGGUUACAUGCAGUUUAACAAAUUUUUGUGAAUCUUUUUUGAAUAUAUUUAUUUCCUCUACAAAUCCUAUCAAAAGUUUUAAAUAUAUAUUUUUAAUGAAAUAUUAACGACUUUUUAAAAUUAGACAAGAUUUUAAAAUAAAUAAAUAUAUAAAUCAUUAAGUGCUCAAUUUAUGACUAAUGCCGUGCUUUAAAUUAUUCAGAUUCAAAAAUGAUUUAGACAAAUUCCCAUCUGCAAACUUUUUUAUUUUUUUCUUUUUUCUUUUCUUUUCUUUAUAUUAAUUAUUUUUCUUGAUUCAAGCUGUGAUUGGAAUUGACAACCAUAUCUCAAAUUUUCAUGCAAUUUCGUUUCAGGUGUUACACUAUUACACUCAUGACAAGAACAUUCUAUUGUGGUUUUUUUAAUUUACAAUUUUGAGCUUGUCUACCACAUCUUCACAAAGUUUUGGAACAUUGUGUAAAGUUUCUAAUAUCCAAUCUUGAAAUUCUAUCAGACAAAUAAAUAGAAAUACUUCUUAACAUGCUUGGAUACUUUAGAUGCAGUGACUUUUAGAAAAAAAUUAAUUUUGCACAUAGGGUUUAAUUAUUACAUGGACUUUAUUUUGACUAGGAGCAUUGUUUUAUCUUUUUGAUAUCCAAUCUUGUACCUAAUUAUUAAUUUUUUUUUCCUAA
rnacentral:lncRNA from 1 species